GAUCCUGGCUCAGGAUGAACGCUGGCGGCGUGCUUAACACAUGCAAGUCGAACGAAGCACUUUAUUACAAUUUCUUCGGAAUGACGAUUUAGUGACUGAGUGGCGGACGGGUGAGUAACGCGUGGGUAACCUGCCUUAUACGAGGGGGAUAACAGUUAGAAAUGACUGCUAAUACCGCAUAAGCGCACGAGGAUUGCAUGAUCUGGUGUGAAAAACCUCCGGUGGUAUAAGAUGGACCCGCG
rnacentral:rRNA from 1 species